AUGAAGAAAUCCCUCCUCUGGCUGCUGCUCCUGAGCUGCUGCUCAACGCCGUGCUCCGGCUCCGGCGACGAGCCCGACGUCCGCUGCCUCAAGAGCUUCCUGCGAUCCGUGGUUGAUCCCGGGGGCGCACUGAAAUCCUCGUGGAAUUUCAACAACGCCACAAAGGGUUACAUCUGCGGCUUCACCGGUGUAACGUGCUGGUCCGCUGACCAGCACAGGGUCUGGUCGCUGCGCCUCAGCGGCCUGGGGCUCCAAGGCCCGUUCCCCCGGGGACUGCAGGACUGCGCGAGCAUGACCGGCACCCUCGACCUGUCGAGCAACAGCUUUGCCGGACCGAUCCCCGCAGACAUCUCGCUGCAGCUCCCGUUUGUAACGUCUCUUAACCUCUCGUACAACGGCUUCCGGGGGCCGAUCCCGCCGGGCAUGGGGAAGAUGGGGGAGUUCCUCGCCCACGUCGACCUUGGGCACAACCAGCUCAGCGGCCAGAUCCCCUUGGAGCUGUCCAGGCUUCGUUUUCUGGCCUCGAUGAACGUUGCGAACAACUCGUUGUCCGGGCCGAUCCCGGCUUUUCUGCAGGGGUUUCCGGCGGCGUCCUUUGCCGGCAACGACGGGCUCUGUGGCGCUCCGUUGGAUCGUCGUUGCCCCGCCUCCGCGAGGAGUAGAAUGCAAAUCAGCGGCGAGUCGAGUGUCGGGGCGGCUGUCGGGUUCGUCCUGGGCUUUGCGGUGGCCUUCUACUUCCCGCAGUGGUUCUCCCGGAGGCUCCACCCCUACGUCUACCGCUUUCUCUGA
rnacentral:rRNA from 1 species